CAGCCGCCACGGUAAUACGGAGGGAGCUAGCGUUAUUCGGAAUUACUGGGCGUAAAGCGCACGUAGGCGGCUUUGUAAGUUAGAGGUGAAAGCCUGGAGCUCAACUCCAGAAUUGCCUUUAAGACUGCAUCGCUUGAAUCCAGGAGAGGUGAGUGGAAUUCCGAGUGUAGAGGUGAAAUUCGUAGAUAUUCGGAAGAACACCAGUGGCGAAGGCGGCUCACUGGACUGGUAUUGACGCUGAGGUGCGAAAGCGUGGGGAGCAAACAGGAUUAGAUACCCCCGUAGUCCCUGUCUCUUAUAC
rnacentral:rRNA from 1 species